rnacentral:lncRNA from 1 species
GGCCACCGGUGACGCCUCCCCAGCGACUCACGGCCCUGAGUGUUGACAUUUUUGUUGGAGAAGUCUCAUGCCUGGUCCCUGUGCUGGUCUGACUCAGUGCACUGUCCCCACAGGGAAGUCCCACCUGGCCAUCGUGCAGAAGGUGAACAACGAGGGCGAGGGCGACCCCUUCUAUGAGGUGCUGGGCCUGGUCACCCUGGAGGAUGUCAUCGAAGAGAUCAUCAAGUCCGAGAUCCUGGACGAGUCGGACACGUACACUGACAACCGAAGCCGGAAACGGGUGUCUGCAAAGAACAAGCGUGAUUUCUCCGCCUUCAAGGAUGCUGACAAUGAACUCAAAGUCAAGAUCUCUCCUCAGCUGCUUCUGGCUGCCCAUCGCUUCCUGGCCACAGAGGUGCCCCAGUUCAGUCCCUCUCUGAUAUCAGAGAAGAUUCUGCUGCGGUUGCUCAAGUACCCAGAUGUCAUCCAGGAGCUCAAGUUUGAUGAGCACAACAAGUACUACGCCCGCCACUACUUGUAUACCCGGAACAAGCCGGCCGACUACUUCAUCCUCAUCCUGCAGGGGAAGGUGGAGGUGGAGGCAGGCAAGGAGAACAUGAAGUUUGAGACAGGCGCCUUCUCCUACUAUGGGACCAUGGCCCUGUCCUGGGUCCCCUCUGUUCCUUCCACCCAGGCCGGGUGUCCGCUUGGCAAGCGGAACUCGCUGCUGUCCUGGCUCUCAGACCGCUCCCCAUCGCACCCCAUGCCCCUCAGCCGCUCAGCCUCCCUCAGUUACCCGGACCGCAGCACAGAUGCGUCCACCACGUCCACCCUGGCGGCUGGCAGCAACCAGUUUGGCAGCUCCAUCCUGGGCCAGUACAUCUCGGACUUCAGUGUCCGGGCACUCAUGGACCUGCAGUACAUUAAGGUAAGUGCCCCUGCUGCAGCCCUCGUCCCUGCUCAGGACCAGUGGCCUCUUUCCCCACCCAAACGCAGCAUCCUUCUCCUCACCUUGCCCUGCGCCUGCUGGGAGCCCCCGCAGGCCCUCUCUUCUGCCUGGGCCCCAGCUCUUGCCCACCGCACUCGCCUCCUGCCCACAGAUCACGCGGCAGCAGUACCAGAACGGGCUGAUGGCCUCCCGCAUGGAGAACGGCCCACAGUUUCCGCUGGACGGGUGCACCACCUGCACGGAGAACUUCACCGAGAAGCCCGAGCUGCCCGUGGUGGACGAGACCACAACGCUGCUCAACGAGCGCAACUCCUUGCUGCACAGAGCCUCCCCGGACAGCGCCAUCUGACAGCAGGGCCCGGGGCCCUGCCCGCCCCGCGGGGCCUCCCCAGUGGGCCACACCGAGAGAGGGGGCCUGUUAGGCCACAGGGGUGCGGAUUGCCUGUGUGA